GACGAACGCUGGCGGCGUGCUUAACACAUGCAAGUCGAACGGAAAGGCCCUGAUUUUGUGGGGUGCUCGAGUGGCGAACGGGUGAGUAACACGUGAGUAACAUGCCCUUGACUUUGGGAUAACUUCAGGAAACUGGGGCUAAUACCGGAUAGGAGCUCCUGCUGCAUGGUGGGGGUUGGAAAGUUUCGGCGGUUGGGGAUGGACUCGCGGCUUAUCAGCUUGUUGGUGGGGUAGUGGCUUACCAAGGCUUUGACGGGUAGCCGGCCUGAGAGGGGGACCGGCCACAAUGGGACUAAGGUACGGCCCAGACUCCUACGGGAGGCAGCAGUGGGGAAUAUUGCACAAUGGGCGGAAGCCUGAUGCAGCGGCGCCGCGUGCGGGAUAACGGCCUUCGGGUUGUAAACCGCUUUCGCCGGUGACGAAGCGGUAGUGACGGUAAUGAGUAAGGAAGCACCGGCUAACUACGUG
rnacentral:rRNA from 1 species